rnacentral:pre_miRNA from 1 species
ACAACAUUCGGACCGUCGGUCUACCGAGCAAUAUCAUCCGCUCGGUGGAAGAUCUUCCCUUAGUUGU